AGGGAGAGGGAGAGGGAGCGAUAGCUGGAGAAAGAAAAAUAAAAAAAAGCUAAAAGAAACAAAUUUUGUCAGUAUAAAAAGAUUGGUAAUAUUUUCAUGUUUCAACUAACUAAUUUUUCA